CAUGGCGCUCUAGAGGAAGAAGAGUGAAAAAUUACUGGCAGGCAGAUUCAUAAGUACAGUAGAGGCUUUUCUAGUUAAAUCACUAAUAGUCAUUUAGUCAUUAGAAACAUAAACAUCUUUGAAAGAAAAAAUGUGAUUAGCAGUUAAAGGAGACAUAUGCUUUUUUCUGGUUUUCUGUUAUUUAUAUACUGUUAUGAUGUUGGAUAUCUUUGUUAAACAGGGUCAAAGUUCCUAAUUAUUAAGGAGAAAGGAGCUAAAACAGCCGGUUUCAGACAGAGGCUGAACUGAGGCGCUGCAAAAAGGAUUAUCCCAACCGGCCUUGGAGUUUAAACUUUCUCCCUUCAAGUCACAAGACCAUCAGGUUGCAAAAAGGCUCUUCUUCAUCAAGCAGCUACCCCUCUUGUGCAUAUUUCUGGUGGGUGAAGCCACCUGUGCCAUGUGAUCUUCCCCGACAGAAGUAAACGGAAGCUUUCUGAGGGAAGCUGCAG